rnacentral:piRNA from 1 species
AGGCCAAUGAGAAGAGCCACUUGCCA